ACUGAAAUAGCUCAGGUGGUAGAGCGUCAGACUAUAAAUCGAAAGGUUCUUGGGCCGAUCCCGGGUUCCCGGC
rnacentral:tRNA from 1 species